GCCGGAUUAGCUCAGUCGGCAGAGCAACCGCCUUGUAAGCGGUAGGUCAUCCGUUCGAAUCGGAUAUCCGGCACCA
rnacentral:tRNA from 1 species